CCUACGGGUGGCAGCAGUGAGGAAUAUUGGUCAAUGGUCGGGAGACUGAACCAGCCAAGCCGCGUGAGGGAUGAAGGUACAGAGUAUCGUAAACCUCUUUUGUCAGGGAACAAGGCGGGGACGUGUCCCCGGAUGAGUGUACCUGAAGAAACAGCAUCGGCUAACUCCGUGCCAGCAGCCGCGGUAAUACGGGGGAAGCGAGCGUUAUCCGGAUUUAUUGGGUUUAAAGGGUGCGCAGGCGGUCUGUUAAGUACGCGGUAAAAGCCCGGGGCUCAACCCCGGCCCGCCGUUGAAACUGGCAGUCUCGAGUUGGAGAGAAGUAUGCGGAAUGCGCGGUGUAGCGGUGAAAUGCAUAGAUAUCGCGCAGAACUCCGAUUGCGAAGGCAGCAUGCCGGCUCCACACUGACGCUGAGGCACGAAAGCGUGGGUAUCGAACAGGAUUAGAUACCCCAGUAGUC
rnacentral:rRNA from 1 species